AACGAACGCUGGCGGCAUGCCUAACACAUGCAAGUCGAACGAUGCUUUCGGGCAUAGUGGCGCACGGGUGCGUAACGCGUGGGAAUCUGCCCUUGGGUUCGGAAUAACAGUGAGAAAUUGCUGCUAAUACCGGAUGAUGUCUUCGGACCAAAGAUUUAUCGCCCAGGGAUGAGCCCGCGUAGGAUUAGCUAGUUGGUGGGGUAAUGGCCUACCAAGGCGACGAUCCUUAGCUGGUCUGAGAGGAUGAUCAGCCACACUGGGACUGAGGCACGGCCCAGACUCCUACGGGAGGCAGCAGUGGGGAAUAUUGGACAAUGGGCGCAAGCCUGAUCCAGCAAUGCCGCGUGAGUGAUGAAGGCCUUAGGGUUGUAAAGCUCUUUUACCCGGGAUGAUAAUGACAGUACCGGGAGAAUAAGCUCCGGCUAACUCCGUG
rnacentral:rRNA from 1 species